rnacentral:lncRNA from 1 species
CGUGACCCCCCACCAGCCAGCGAAGCGGGGUGGUCAGCGCCUCCGCAACGCAUGUGGGUCAGCUGGCUGACGGGACCAGGAUCUUCCCGGCGGCUCAGUGCAGUCGCUGAGCUAACGCCACAGUCUGGAAGUUGCCUGUUUCGUCAGAGCUGGGGAGAUACUUGGGCAGGAAAGAGGAACUGAGGCCCAAGCGGCCGCGGGACUCCUUUAGGGCGGGACCUGCUGGUGUCCACCCGCCCCACUUAGUAAUAGGUUUCCACGCCGGCCUGGGACCUUCUGGAGCGGUGACCUCAGAGGCGCGGCCAUGGAGGUACCAGUGCAGGUGUCACCAGCCUCUGGGCGGUCCCUAAGGAUUUUUUUUUUUUUUUGAGAUGGAGUUUCGCUCUGUCGCCCAGGCUGGAGUGCAGUGGCGCGAUCUCGUCUCACUGCAACACCCUCCUCCUGGGUUCAAGCGAUGCUCCUACCCCAGCCUCCCGAGUAGCUGGGACCACACGAGCGCGCCACCACGCCCGACCAAUUCAAGGGGAGCACUUCAACAAUGACCAUGUUGUAAGCUUCCGGGAGCGCAGAUUCCGUGUGUUGGCGGCACCGGUGUGGAGUGUGUUCUACUCCCGCAGGUGUGAGCCUUCAGAUGGGGAACGUGCGCUGGAAAUUUCUGAGGAAUGCUUGAACCAGGCCGGCUUUGGGCUGAAAUUGAAAAAAUUAGAAGUGCAGGUGUAUCCUGGUUCUUUUCAGUGUAUCGAAGUCGGGCUGUUGCAACCUUCGUUUUUGCACUUUAACGUUAGCUCUUCAGGGUAUUAAAUUUAGGGCUUUUGUGCUGUCAGAGGCAGAUGGCCAAACGUACCGAACAUUCUGCAAAGGUGAAAUGAAUUUUCUUAACUGCCCUGAAGUGUCUCAACUGCCAGGCCCUUGCGGGCCUUUGUUCCGUAACGUUCUCAGCUAAGAAAGAUUACACGAUCAAUGGAUUUGGGCAGGGUAAUUGCUAAGUUUCUUCUUUCAAGUUAUACUUUGAUGUAAAGACUCCAUUUCAAUGCUACAAAACUCUUAAUUUCAGCUUAUUUGAAACAUUCUACGAGCUCUACUCCCAGAUGUUUUCUUGGUUUUGAGGGACACAGUGAGGAUGAAGGGAACAUGAUAUUCAUGGUGGUAAAGGCAAAAAUGUUGUUUACUCCACACACAAGACGAAUUUUCCCUAUACUAGAAGACAAUUGAGUAUUUUCCUAAUAAGGUGUACAAUAUCGAGCUUCCAAGUCUACUUAGGAGACAAGGUGAUGAGAGAUUAUGAUAAGAGCAACAAGUCAUAAACAUAAUGGUGACUGAAUUAUCUAUAAUCACCAAAGACUCAAUGACUCAUAUCCCAUGCUAUCUCAAAGACAUUUCACCCAGUUUUUCCCUCCAUUGGUUCAAAAUAAGAUCACUGUCUUCUCCCUGACAUGCUUUUUUUUUUUUUUUUUUUUUUUUUUUUUUGAGACUGUCGCUCUGUCGCCCAGGCUGGAGUGCAGUGGCUGCAAGCUCCACCGCUCCACCUCCCGGGUUCACGCCAUUCUCCUGCCUCAGCCUCCCGAGUAGCUGGGACUACAGGCGCCCACCACUACGCCUGGCUAAUUUUUUUGUAUUUUUAGUAGAGACGGGGUUUCACCGUGUUAGCCAGGAUGGUCUUGAUCUCCUGACCUCGUGAUCUGCCCACCUCGGCCUCCCAAAGUACUGGGAUUACAGGCGUGAGCCACCGGGCCUGGCCUUUUUUCUUUUUUUUAAAUUUAGAUGGGGUCUCACUCUGUUACCCAGGCUGGAGUGCAGUGACCUGAUCUUGGCUCACUGCAGCCUCCACCUCUCACCUCACCCUCCUGAGUAGAUGGGACUACAGGCACAGGCCAUCACGCCUUGGUAUAGCAUGAUUUUUAAAUUUGACUUCUAGGACACCCAUUUUCUUGGUUUUCCCCUACUUCUGUUUCUGCUCCUGAUUCUCAGUGGUUUUUGCUAAUUCUCUCUUCUCACCACCUUUUAAUUUGGAGUGUCCCCAAGUGUAAUUCAUGGUCCUCUUCUGUAUCUAACCCUCACUUUCUUGGUGAUCUUACCAUGUCUCAUGGGUUUAAAUUUUAUCUGCCAUUCAUCUCUGGUUAUACAUUUCUCAAAUGCCAUACUUUUACAUCCAACUGCC